GCCUUGGGGAGAGCUGUUAAAACUGACAAAUUGCGUGACGCACAUCAUAAUACAAACAAAUGAAAAGAGUUGGCCCCAGCGGUUUUUAGACUUGCUUAUUGGAUUUUUGGAAAUAUGACCUGGUGCAGAGGGAAGAUGAAGGCAGGCAGCCCUACUGAGGCCAGAAUACGGUGGGCGGGGGAGCGGGCAACUGGCCGUGAUGUCAGCCUGAGCAUGUGCUGAGGACCAAUGAGAUGCCCAAGAGGGCAUGGAAAGGCAUCUGCCCCAUGGGUGAGCCCAGUUCGCCUCUGCAUGGACAUGCUGUGUGGCCCAGGGGAAGCCUCUGACCCUCUCUGAGCCUCAGUUGCCUCAUCUGUAGAGCAGGGACAACGACAUUCAUCUCGAGUCCUCGCAGGAAACCCACUGGGAUAUAAUCUCUGCUGCUCCCCAUCCUGCCUCAUGCCCCAGGAAGCUGACCUGUAUACACUGCAUCAAGAAGCUCUCUUGACCUUUGGCUUCCAGUUGACUUGGCUAAUGAACUUGCCAGACACCUGAACCUUCAACAGCCACCACCCUGACCAGUCAGCAGUCCUCACCACCCACCAGCAAGAGGAUCC
rnacentral:lncRNA from 1 species